rnacentral:lncRNA from 1 species
CAUAAAAUAAACUCUAUUAAACUUAAUUGUCGUACAAAUUAGCAUCCGAACAAAAAAAUAAGUACGGUAAAUAACGUUAAAAUAUAUGAAAUUAUAGUACGACAUUAACAAGCUCAUAAAAGUUAGUAGUGAAAAUCAAAUGAUUACCUAUUCUAUAGUAACCAAUUGAACCCAAUCAACAAGGGUUAGACCUAAGAAGAAGUACCAUUUGACUAUCCAAAAAUGAUAGUCAAAUGGUUUCCAAAAACAUGGUAAGGCUAAACCUAGGUCAACUAUGCAAUAGAGGUGGAAGGACUCUUUUCAUUUAUAAUUGGCCCUACAACUAUAAUAAAUGAGAACUCUCCCUAUGUAAAGUGACAAAAAUACAAAUAUACAACAGGGUAGAGGGUAUGAGUGUUGAGUUUCUUUUUAAUAUAGAAAGGGGAAAAUGGAGGGAAAUAAAAAAUUUGAGUAAAAUUUUAAGUUUUACUCUCAUUUUAAUGAGACAUUGUCCCUCAUUGGUAGAGGAAAAGGAGUUUGGUGGGUUUAUAUACAAAUGCACUUCAUGUAGCUCUUAAAGAGUUAGGAAGAAGGCAAGCCUCGCCUCGUCGUCGUCGCUCGGCUUCGGUCAAUUGAUUGAUUAAUCUUUUGGACCAAAUUUAUUUGUUAAUAGUAGAUAUUAACGUAAUAUUAUCCGUGUUUAUAACGGAUAUGUUCCAAUCCGUGUAUUGUACCACCAGUUGCAAUAGUAGCCGCCUAGUGCUCCUCCCACCAUGGCUAAGUGUUUGCUCCAUAACAAGCUAGUGCAUGCUCCACCAUGGAGGGGGGGCGGGUCUCACAACUGACUGCUAUAAAUAUGAGCAACAACAGUUGGAGAAUGACACACCAAAAACAGAAUUGAGAGCUAUUGAUCUUCUCUUCACCGAAAACUCAACGUUGGCUAUAAUUUNNNNNNNNNNNNNNNNNGAAUUCAAUGGCUCGAAUUAAUUUCUGUUUCAUUUAUAUUUACGUUUAUAAGCUAUCGUUCUAAUUUUUCAGUCAUUAUUUACAAAUACAGGUUUACCAACAAUGAGAAAUACAACAUGACUAUCUUCAUGGUAGCUUUGACAACAAUGGUGAAAAGCCAAUAUGAAGAUAGCAUUGAUGUUUGGCCAGAUGUGUGCAAAAGUAACAUUACAAUUUCGGGAUAUUACUCCCGGAAUUAGUUAUAUCGCGAUUUUUUCCCAACCAAACAUAAGAUAAAUUCAUCUCAAAUUUAAUUUCGAAAUUAAUUAUCUGUUAUCUCUCGUACCAAACGAGCCCUUAAUUCUCAACUUGCAACUUUUUAGUCUAUUUAACUAGCUAGCUUCCUAAUCAUUAUCUGUGAUAUCUCUCUCCAAACAAUACAAUCUAUCUUCGACUGUAGCAGACAACUGCUACAUUUGUAAAACAAUAAUAAAAUAAAAAUAAAAAAUCACACCAGUUUAUCCAUGAAAUCGAAAGAAUUCAUAAGCUCAUUUUAAUUUUAAAAAGGAAUAAAAUAGUUUCACAAGAACAAAACAGAUAGGAAUAAGCUAUUCUGUUCUAGAAACUUUUGUACCUAUAUCGGCUUGAGCAACCAAAAUAUUAAUACUAAUUAAGGAAGAUAUUUCGUUAAGAUUGGCUACACUUUGCUAAUCAUAUCCCCAAGUACUUUCGCUAGCGUUUGAACGUAGAUUUGGUUGAAACUUAAAAAAGAGUUUUUGAAGUUGUGUUGAAAAUAAUUUUUAAAAGUUGAAGUUGUGUUUGGACAUGCAUUUUAUUAGAAAAAAAGUUAAAGUUUAUGAUUGAAAUGCAGUUUUUGGGAACUUGAAAAAAAAUUCAAAUUUUUUUUUCAAAAACUGAUCAUAUUCCAUGAAUAAAUGAUGUUUCAAUUUUUUUUUUAAGAAGUACCCAAAAUCUAUGGCCAAACGCAGAGCUUCAAACAACUGGCCAUGGAAGCAAAUUUGGAAAGGUGUGUCAUCGUACAAGCUAAGACGCUUCUCGUUACUUUUAAAAAAGAAAAGGCAAAAUACAAAAAUAGAUUUUUAAAGUUGGCCUCGGAUGUAUAUUUCAUACUCCAACUUACUCAAUAAUCAAAUAGACACUUCAAUUUCGCACAGGUGUAUCUCGUGGACACUCCCGUCUGGUAAGCUUAGAGUGUGAGUUACAAUCGCAUAUAACAUGAAAUAAUGACAAAUAAACACUUGACACGUAUAACUUUUAUAAAAAAGAAAAAUAAAAACAUUAGAAAAUCCUCUCUACCAUCUCCUUCACCGCCCACCCUCUUUCUCCUUCUCCAUAAAUUUUCCACCAAAUCCCUCAUUUUCUAUUCAAUUUCACUUGUGUUUUUUUUAGAAAAUUCAUCAUCUCUAUUCAAUUUAAUUUCUAUUAUUUUUAGAAAAUUCAUCAUUUGCUUCAAUAAUUCAUCGGAAUAUUUCAUCGUCAUCUAAUUACUCGUCGCCAUUCUCGUUUCCAUUUCCACCACAUAACGAAAAUCGGUGGUGGUGACGAUUCUAACAACACGGUGGAGAAUUCCACAGCGCUUGCACUUGCAAACUAGGGUUAAGGCCCGAUCCAGAUUCAUAUAAAAAUUGGAAAUGAUUCAAUCGGUUGCGUGUCCAAUUUGAUCUAAUAUUAGAAUCAAAAACAAUAAUGCUUCUUCUAUUCGAUUAUCCUCUAUUUCCAUGGUUGCCAUAAAAAUCAUAAUACAAUUUAAUUUUAUGGUUAUUGAAUGGUAUAUUUGGUGACGUGUUGUUUUUGUUGGGGUGAUAGCGCGAGGAUGGUGAUGAGUUUGUGAUGGCGGCGAAAGAGUGGUGGGGACUAUACCUUGAUUGGAGAUAAAGAAAGUGAGCCCCACAUGAAAAAAAUAAAACAAAAAUAUAAUUUUAAGAAAUUUUACACACCCGAAGUUGUAUGAAAAUGAAACAUUUUGCCAUGUCAGCUCGGGAUGCCCACGAGACAUACAGUAAAAAUAGCACGGUUUAGUCAGUUUUCGGACUGGUCAUUUAAAAAUUGCCAGCGUUUGCUAAGUCAUUGAAAAAUAACCUCUAUUUUGCUGCAAUAGAGACCGGUCCAGCAUAAUAUACUGGAGUUCGGUGCACCUGUGUAUGAACUUCCAGCAUAUUAUGUUGGACCGAUAUAUUUUGCUGGCUCCAGUAUAUUAUGCUGGACAAGUAUAUUAUACUGGAACUCCAGUAUAUUAUGCUGAAGUAUUUUUCCGGAUUCUGAACAGUGUUUUCGUUCAGAUUUAUCUUUACAUGAAAAGUGGCUAAAAUUCGAUUACUUUUGAAACCGUGGCCAUUUGAAUGGCUACUUAUAAAUCUGGCUAUUUUUGAAUUUCUCCCGACAUACAUGUGCCAAGUUGAAAUGUCUACUUGAUUAUUGAGUAAGUUGGAGUCUGAGGCCAGUUUAAGUGUCUCUUUAUAUAUAUUAUCAACUCUAUUUGCGAAAAAUACGGAAAUGAUAACCUUAAAAUUAUUGAGGCCUCUUCUUUGUUAAUAACAACUAAAAGAAAAGCUGGAAAUUUUCAAGUUUCAAGUGGAAAGAGUGUACAAUUUAAACAUACGAACAUUGAUAAUACAUGUGUUGCACACCAAUUAAUGUAUUGCACACCAAUUUAAUGUUUUUAUUAGAUAAUACAUGUGUUAUUAUCUUAUAAGUAACCUGAUAGUAUAUUUUUUAUUACCACAGUCAAUGCAUAAGACUUAAUUUCGAUAUCUUUAUAGAAGAAUUAAUCCAAAUAAUCGCUUAUCCAAUCGCUUAAAUUAAAAAUAGUUGCUAGAGUCAUAAUAUAUGUAUUAUAUGUAUAUAAUCGUGUAUAAUCAAUGUAUACAAUAACAACAACAUGCAAGUAUUAUCGCACACCGUGGGGUUUGGGGAGGGUAGUGUGUACGUAAACCUUACUCCUACCAUGUUAGGAUAAAGAGGUUGUUUCAAUAGACCUUCGGCUCAGGAAAGCAUAAGCACAUCAUUAAUGAAAAUAUAGACAAGAAGAGACAACACCAAAAAGCCAUAUAAAAGCAGAAUUAAAACUACAAGACAGUAAUAUGAUCAAUAAUGAAAGAAAACAACGGUUAAAUAUGACCGAUUAUUUAUAUAAUCAAUGUAUAUGUUUAAAAAAAAUAAACAAUAAAUAUGACCGGCUAUUUACGUAAACGCGAAUUGUUCUUGUUCUUUUCCAGUAGAAGGAAGUCAGCAGAAUCAAAUCUAUCAAAAUCUAUAAAAAUCCACAUGUCAACCAGUCAUUGAUCAAUAACCCAUCCACAAAAUCUACAGAUGUCACAAUCUUUAUAGUCCACCACAUAUUUUCCUAAAUGAAUCUUUAUUCUCUCCACUAUUAAUUUUCAUCCACUAGUCACCUCUUCAAAGGCCAAAAUCCAAGUUCAGAAAACAAAGCAAAAACAAGAAAAGGUUAGAAAAUUAAGAAAGAUGGCAGCAAGAAUGGCUACUACAUCAACUGUUGUUGGUUUGGUUAGUUCCUCUCUUUCAUCUUCAAAAAAGACAUCCCUUAACUCAGGUAAUUUAAUUUUUUAUUUUCUUCUCUAAAAAAAAAUUUUUAUUUUUGAUUUUAUGGCAAUUUUCCACAUUAUCAUAAUGACUUUCUUUUCUCUAUUUGCUUUCUAACUUAUUGUGCAUUUUCAAAAGGAUUUUUCAUGAGUAAUACCAUCAGGAGCGGACGUAGCCUCUUGGUUAUAGGUUCAACUAAACCCAUAAAUUUCGACACAAAGCAUGAAUUUAUAUGUAGAAACUUACUAAAUUCUAAUAAAUAUUAGAUUUGAACCCAUAAUUUUAACAGUACAAUAAGUGCAAUACUAAAAUUUUAAAAGCUGAACCCAUUAAAUUUGAAUCCUGAAUCCGCCUCUGAAUACCACUCAGAGGCUGAUCCAAUCUUAUAGUUACGGGUUCGACAGAACCUGAUAGUUUUGAUUCAAACGUUACAUUUGUGUUAAAUUUUUUAUUAAAUAUGUAUAAAUAAUAUAUUUAAAACCGAAUAAGUAAAAAAUAUUAUGGUACACAACCUGUAAACUAAAAAUCCUAGCUCGGCUUAACUCACGUACAUUCCGUCACAUUUCCAAUUUUAAGUUAGUGAGUGCAAAAUAUUAUUAAAUUCUCUAGUUUGACAAUUAGUAUGGAUUUAACAUUAAAGUCAUUUUUAAUUUUUUAAUUUUAUAUAGUAUAUAUUAAUUCUUAAAUGCCUAUACAACUUUGCCGAAUGCUACAUCCUGUAACUGUAGUAAUAGAGGAAAAUUUCUAUUGACUAUUUAUUAUAGGAAUAAUAGUCCUUUUUAUUAGGUGGAUUAUUGUAAUAAAAUAUUAUUUUCACUUUUCCACUAAUUCCAUUUUUCUUCACAGGCUUCUUAAAAUCACCAGUGACAGCAAGAAACCCUCUAAGGAUCGCCCAAGCUUCAGGAGGCAAAUUUACAUGGUAAAUUACCAGAUAAAAAUCUAUUUAAUUACAGUGGGGUUGCUUACACAGUUUUUAUUUUUAUUUUUAUUUUUGAGUUUAACUUUUAUAGUCAGUGUAGAAUUUUCUUUUACAUGAUCAAAUUACCUAAGGUAACUACUGAUUAAUGCUCGUAAUAAAUGAAAUUAGUAACCUGUAAUCAGUGGCAAAGGUACCUUUAGUGAGGCGGCUUCAGUUGAAUUCCAUUCGUCGAAAAAUUAUAGUGUGCUAAAAGGGUAAAAUCUUUGUUUCGAGUUGGUAUACGGAUGGACCAACUCUUCUGGUCCUAAUAUUGAAUAUGAAAGAUUGAUAGCUUCACCUUCUUCUUAAUCUUAUUGGUUUUAUAACUAGUGGCGUACACGAAAUUUUUCAUAAGCAGUGUCACAAUUUGAAGAAAUAAAUAAAUAAAUUACUGUAGUUUUAAGUAGUUUCAUUUCUAUAUUUAUUCCCAAUAUUUUAAAUUUUCUUUUAUAUAUUUACUAAAAAAGUUCGACGAAGCAGUGUCUCGUAACACCGCAUAGGACAAGGUAUAUAUGCCCCUGCUUACCACGGACACAAGAGCACAGAACUCUCAACUCCCGAAUCCCCCAGGGUGAAGGGUGAACCUUUUAUGUGAUUCAAUCUCAUCUAUUGCUGCUUUCGAAUCGAUUAAAAAAAUAAAUAUUUAUAUAUAUAUAAAAAAAAAAUUGAAUUUUCUUUAUAUAAAGGAUAUUUCUAGUUUCUAGUGUAAUGGUAAUGGUGCUUCAAAAAUUAUUGUGGAAUAUCUUAUUUGAAUUUUUGACUAUGCCACAAAUUAAAUUAUAGUAUUAACAUAAAAAUUCUGAAGGGGAGCCUUGGCAUAACUGGUAAAAUUGCUGUCAUGUGACCAGAAGGUCGUGAAAAUAGCCUCUUGCAGAAAUGCAGGAUAAGGCUGCUUACGAUAGGCCUUUGUGGUCCGGCCGCGCAUAGCGGGAGCUUAGUGCACCGGGCUGCUCUAACAUAAAAAUUCUAUACAAUAUCAACUUAUGUAAGUUAAUUUUUUCUUUUAGUCAUAAUUCAUUUGUAAUUUUGCAAUGUGUAAUUUGAAGCUUUGAGAGAGAUUGGCUGAGGAGAGAUUUGAAUGUGAUUGGAUUAUUGUGGAAUAUCUUAUUUGAGUUUUUGACUAUGCCACAAAUUAAAUUAUAGUAGUAAUAUAAAAAUUCUGAAGGGAAGCCUUGACGUAAGUGGUAAAGUUGCUGCCAUGUGACCAGGAGGUCACAUGUUCGAGCCGUGGAACAAUCUCUUGCAGAAAUGCAGGGUAAGGCUGCGUACGCUAGACCCUUAUGAUCCGACGGGAGCUUAAUAUACCGGGUUGUCCUCACAUAAAAAUUCUAUAUUAGCUUAUGUAAGUUAAUUUUUUCUUUUAGCCAUAAUUCAUUUGUAAUUUUGUACUGUGUAAUUUGAAGCUUUGAGAGAGAUUGGCUGAGGAGAGAUUUGAAUGUGAUUGGAUUUGGUCUAAUUGGAUGGCUGGCACCUUCAAGCAUUCCAGCAAUUAAUGGCAAAAGUUUAAGUGGUCUAUUUUUUGAGAGCAUUGGCACUGAGCUCUCUCAUUUCCCUACUGGCCCUGGUGUCACUUCUCAAUUCUGGUAAUUCCACCAUAAUUACUCUUUUUGUUUUACGCCCUCCUGGAAACAGCCUCUCUACCCUUCGGGGUAGGAGUAAAGUCUGCGUACAUAUUAUCCUCCCCAGACCCCACUUGUGGGAUUAUACUGGGUCGUUGUUGUUGUUGUUGCCCUCCGAUUAUUUUAUAUGAUGCAUUUUUACUGGUACGGAGUUUAAAACGAGUCAUAUAUAUUUUUGUGACUAUAAAAUAUCUCAUUAAAAAAAUUAAAGUUAAAUUAUUUUAAAUAAGAAAAAAAUUUAGUAUUUUUUUUAGACAGAUUAAAAGGCAAAAGUGCAUCGCAUAAAUUGGAACAAAUGGAGUAAUUGAAUACAUAUGUAAUACAGUAUUUACGGACUAAGAUUUACAAAAAAAGAAAAUGUCUAAAUUGGUCACCAAAUUAUUGAUUUUUGCUCGAUUUUGUUACUCUUUGCAUCCUCAAUUUAUCUGCCGUUAUUUGACUUGGUACGGAGUUUAAGAAAGAAAGUACUUCCUCCGUUCCAAUUUAUGUAAACCUGUUUGAUUGGACACGGAAUUUAAGAAAAAAUGAAUACUUUUGGAAUUUGUGGUCCUAAACAAGUCAAAAAGGGCUCCAGAAUAUUUGUGUGGUUAUAAAAAUUUCUCAUUAAGAGUAGAAUUGUAAGUUUAAGCUAAAUUGUUUCCAAAUUUAGAAAGGGGUUAUUCUUUUUGGAACGAACCAAAAAAGAAAUAGGUUCACGUAAACCGGAACGGAGGGAGUUAUACUUUUAACAUUUAUGAUUUAAAAUAAGCUUUACAUAAUUAUGUGACCACAAAUUAUUUCAUUAAAGAAAAUAGAAGUAUACAGUAUGCAACUCAAUAGUAUAUGUUGUUUAGUGGAAAACCAAUUUUCACAAAUCUUAUAGUCUAGUAGUAAUGGUUAAAGUCUCAUAAAUAUGAAAAUUCAAUUCUCAUUGUCCCCCUUUCCCCUUGUGUGAUCUGCCCUAUGUUAUAGAAGAAAAAUUUAAAAAUAAUAAUUCAAAAUCUUUUUUUUUUUAAUUAGAAACUCACAAUGUUAUAUGAAUUUUAGUGCAUUUGGCCUAUUUUUUGCAACAAAAAAACAUGAAAAUAAUCAAGUGGACCAAUUCGAAAAGAAUAAUUAGGGUUUUCUAUAGUAUUUAUGGACAAAAUACUUUGUUACAGAUCAAUUCUUAGUUUUCUCUAAAUUUAGAUAUUUGCAUUAUUGUCUUAAUUACAGGCUAUGGAUGGUCUGUUGGCACUUGGGUUUGUUCCUCUGCCUCACUUUUGGGCAAAUUGGAUUCAAAGGAAGGACUGAGAAAUACUUUUAAAUGGAAUUUUUUUCUGAUAAUUAUAUUGUGUAUAAUGAAGAAUCUAUUAAUGUCUUAACUCUCCUUCUUUCUCAAUUUUCAGAAUAUUAUGGGAGACAAAUCCCUUCUACUUUCUGUACUUUUAUUUACGGUUUUGUUUUUUUACCAGUGAUAGGAUAUAAAUAGAAAAAGCAGGAAAAAAAAAACAAAAAAAAAACAGUAAAUGAGAUAAAUAAAGCAAUUGAAUUGUGGAUUCUAAAAAUGUCAACCUUUGUUUUUCGGAUGAAAAAGCUCGUCGAUCCAAAUGAAUCAUUUUUCUGAUCUCUCUUCGCUCCCCACCCUGAAACUGACCUACGACACAACGCCUAUUCACUUCGAGCACGGGAAGGCAAUGAAGUUCAGUUCAUGAAACUACAGCGCAGCAGAGUGGAGCAGCCGCGACACGAAGUUCCUCACCUUAGUUGGAUCUCACUAGUGCCACCUAAACGGUAGGUAGGCAACAACUACGACAAAUGACACAACAUAAAUUGAAGAUGAAUCGUAAUUCGUAUAUAAUGCCGUAGUCAAGAAUAGUUCAACAGAUUUGGUGGCCUAAAGUCAAAAUAUGUUAAAAGGCCCGUAAACUUGUUUUUCAUAAAAUUUAUAGAAUAAUGAGAUACAACAGAAACCUACAUGAAUUGGUCUAAUGAUAAAAGUACCGCGCAUGAUGUGUGGAUUAGAUACAUGUAUUUUAAAAAAGCGUGAGCGCGUAAGGCGAAGUGUUUUAUAUAUAUCUCAGCGAGGCGUGAGCUCCGAGGUACGGGGUGUAAGUCCCAUAGGCAUUUAAUUUUUAAUAUUUUAUAAAGAAUAUAAUUACAAUAAAUAUUUAUAAGCAGGUACAACAACAACAACAACAUACCUAGUAUAAUCCCAUAAGUGGGGUAUGGGGGAGGCUACUGUGUACACAGACUUUACCUUACCUGGCGAGGUAAAGAGACUGUUUUCGAUAGACCCUCGGCUCAGAAAAAAGUGAAAAAGAGAAAGGAAGAAGACGACGAAGAUAGAAAGAAUAAGGGGACAAAGAAAAAGACACCACCACCACCACCAACAACAACUACAACAAUGAAAUAACAUGUAAAAGAUAAAAUAACGUCAAAUAGUAACAAAAUGGAAAAUACGAUACCCAGAGCGAACGAAACAAUAAGCAAAUACUAGGGGUCAAAGAAUACGAAAAAAUUAGCGAGCUACUAAUACUACUAAAAAAGAACGGGAAACCCUCGACUACCUACUAGCCAACUACCCUAAUCUUUGACCUCCACAGCCUUCUAUUAUGGGUCAAAUCCUCACUGAGUUGAAGUAGCGUCAUAUCCUGCCUAAUCACCUCUCCCCAAUACUUCUUCGGCCUUCCUCUACCCCUUCGCAGCCCCGCCACAACCAGCCUCUCACACCUCCUAAUAGGAGCAUCCGUACUCCUCCUAUGUAUGUGCCGAACUAUCUCAACCUCAACUCCCGCAUCUUGUCCUCCACGGGGGCCACUCCCACAAUUUUUUUUUUUAUAUAUAGUUGUGCUCCAUCCCCACAAAAAACUAGUCAAAACAAUAUAUUAUAUGCUACUUAAAAGCACAAGUAACUUGAGUCGAAAAGAAUAAAGUUUUCUAUAUGGAAGAACAAAAAUGAUGACUAAUCUGUAAUUUGAACGUUAAACUUGUUGCUAUGAAAGAGAAUGGAGUUCUCUUUGUAUUUGUAAUUUUUUUUGAAUAUUUGUUGCUUUUAGGAGAUAUUAGCAGACUAACGGAUAAGAUAAAAAAUUGAAAAAGCCAAUGAUUUAGGGCUUCAAUCAACAAAAAAGGUCUUGACUUUUAAGUUUACAACAUUUCAAUUCCUUUUUAAAACUUUUGAGUAAUGACCAAGCUGACUUUUGAGAAAUUGGGUAUUAUAUGAAGGACUUAUUCAACAAAUUUUGUUUUAAUUUGAAAAAGUCUCUAGGACUUACACCUCAAACGCUCGGGUGUACGCCCCGAAUUGCUGGGCGUAUGCCUCUUGAAGCUUUCGCCUCACACUAUCGCCUCAGGGCGUUUACGGCGCGCCUUGUCCCAGGGCUUGCCCCGAAAACGCCUUUUAAAACACUGUUUUGAACUAUAUCAAAAACUAUAAAGACACAAAAAAAACUUAUUGCCUGAAGUAUGAAUCAAUCAAAUAUGAUAAAAAGAAAUAGUCAAUUUAGAGAAAUUGAGAUGAAAUUAGAAAGUGUAAUUGUUAGAAAACUGAACAAAAAUAAGUGAACAUAAAGGAAGAAAAAUUAGAAGUAAAUAUACUACAUUUAAUUGAACGAGGGAAAAAAAAUUAUCGUCAUUUAUCCACUCAAUCAUAAACCUCAAUUAAAUUUUAAAUAGUACUAGUCUCUAUGUCACAUGUCUCGCUCAUGUAGCACCUAAACUAUUGCAAAUACUAGAUAGAAAAAAUAUUACUAUGAGAAAUAUUUUCAUGAUAAGAUAUUUCAUUAAGUUUCCUAUAAAAUUACUAUAUUGUGUAGUAAGAUUGUAAUAACAAUUUCUUACGUGUAUAUCAGUUGUGUUUAUAUAAAUAUUAGAAGUGUUAAUGUGGAGAUGGAAGUACUUCGAAGAGCAAUGUAGGAAAAAUAAUUAAUUCGUUCAUAAAAUCUAAAAAAAUCACUUAUUUUGAAUCACAAAAAAAAAUUAUUUAUUGUGGACCGGGAGAGUAUAUUGCGUCAAGAAAGUGGACCCAAAGUGUUAAAUUACAACGUGUUUCUUCUGGCGAUAAAUAAUGAAAAAACAAAUUGGUUUAGAAAAAAAUACUAAAUAUAAAAUUUAAUUCAACAGGAAUGAUAUUUUCAAGAAUUAAUUACUAAUUUGUGUAAGCACGUAAUUUUUGACCCGCACAAAUUUUAAAGUUAGUUUUAGUAUUUUAAUAUUUUUAAAAUAUUUACUUGACUUUAUUUUAAUAUAAUUUUAAUCUUUUUACUUUUAGUCCUAAGACAUAAANNNNNNNNNNNNNNNNNNNNNNNNNGAUUUAAUCAUAGCCAUCUAUUUCCUUCUAAUCCAAUGGUCAUCAUGUCUUCCCACCUUCAUAUAAAAUACCCAAUUAUAGAAACCCUAUCCUUAUCUUCCAUCUUUAACCACAAAAACAACACAACCGAGAACCACCGAAAAUUCCCCUCGAUCGGCCCUCUUCUGCUUCAGACCCAAAGAGCCUCAGCUCGCCGGAACCCCCGAUUUCAAGACCAAACCGCCACACCACCUUCCCCUAUUAAACUCCAAUUUCGCAAUUAAAAAAACUUCUAUUUCUAGUUCUACACCUUUCGAAUCCUUUAACUCAUAGAAGCUCAGAUUGUUGAACUAAUUUUGGCCACAAAUGAGUUGGAUUGGGGAGCUCAACAAUGAGCUCGUUCGUUGAGGUUGCCGUUCGUUCAACACUAUUCAAAUCGAUUGGAAGCAAUGGACUAUUAUGUUCGAAUUCUAGUUGUCGUUCGUUCAAUUUGGUUGCCGCUACUGCUAUUCGUUUCUUUUGGAUCAUUUUGAGUUUAUGUUUAUUUCUUUUUUUGCUGCAAAAAUUACGGAGUUCGACUGAGGUUAAGCUGAGUUCGAGUUCGCCGGCGAGUUUCAGUCCGUUGGCCUUGGUCGAGUUUUCUUAUUCCCGGUUCAGUUUGG